ACAGACUAUACCACUGACUUUGAUCAACAAAGUGCUCCAAAGUGGGACUCAAACACCCACUCACAAGUCCCAGCUCUGCCAAGAAGAACCAUGGGACCUUGGUUUGUCCUGAGCCCUGACAAAGGUCUGGCCCCCUCCUGCACUCGGAACGCGGAGGACCCGCAGCUCGUGGAUUCGCGCCUCAGUGCCCAAGCUGGUGUUGAUGGGGGUUGCGGUUUCCUGCCACUCACUCCCCAUGGGUCCUGUGGGGGGCGUGGGGAUGCGGGGAGAGGGUUUCAGAAUAGGAUCCCGGACUGGGAGGGAAGGGACACCAUCUGGGCACACCCAGUAGGUACGACCGGAGGUGAAAAAAGAGUGGGUCCCAUCCCCUGAUGGCCCCGCUCGCUAUCCACUUUAAGUUUAUGUUAUGGAUAUUUUCAAACAUAUUCAAAAGUAGAGAGAAAAGUAGAAUCAUAACCCAAGUCCACACCGCCCAGCUUCAACAGUUAUCCCCUCCAAGCCCAUCUUGUUUCAGCUAACCCUCUCCCACCACCCAUUUUAAAGCGGGAUGUGGGUGUCCUGAGGGAGGUGGAGGCUCCCCAGUUGGAGAGCGGGUGCCCGCACCUCUGGAGGCUGAGGCACAACUGGGCUGGGAGUUGAGCGCAUACCGAGUAGGGGCUGCGG
rnacentral:lncRNA from 1 species